UAGAACCAGGACUCCAUGCCUGAAAUGCCCAAACAGCCUGACCCACUUUUCCCCCUUCCUCCAAAAACAAAGUACAAUUUCAGGAGCUGCAAUUGUCCUGGUUUUGUUGUUGCUGGAGUAGUUUAUCUCUAGAAUGAACACUCCCUGGGGACGGUUUUCCCGGUGUCUUCAUCCGGCACAAUGACUGGCACACACAAGGGUCACAGGACAAGCAUCUAAUAUUUGGGGAACAGUCCUGUGGGUGUGCAGGCAGUGCUGGCUGAACUGAUCUCAAUGAUUGUAGCUUGGAAGGGGCCUUCCUGGUCAUGUCCUCUGAUCUCCCACAAGAUGGAAUUCCCUCUGUCCCAACACUGAUACCGGGACCGCAAACAUGUUUGUUCUAAAGGGAUUUUUAAGUACCCUGGUCCUUAUAUCUUCGUGCUUCUCAGUGACAUGAA